rnacentral:lncRNA from 1 species
AUGAUACCACAUAUUCAGCUGCAGCAUCCCUGUGACAUUUUUUCCACUAUCCCUGUCAAUGACUCACCACUACUGAAAACCACAGCAUACCACACUGUUGGGUGUAAUGGCAGUGUUCACCUCAUUAUAUUGCCUUCUAUCUUGCAGAAUAAUUUCUGUGCAACCCAUAGUGCACCACCAUCUUCCUGCUCUCUGGCUCCCUCUUCCAGCUCUGCAUGGAAAGACAUUUCUCCCAGAGGGAAAAAAAGAGAACAUCCAUUGACCUCCAAAACCUUGCUCAAACCUCCAAAGAACAAAAAGGUGGUUGGCAUUCACUCCCCCACAAGAAGCAAACUUUCCAUAUCACCUCAAGUUCUUAAAGACACUCAAUCUUACAGCAUGCUGGGAACCUGCGCCCACUGCAACACUACUCUGCCACUUCCAGCCCAUCAGAAACAUCAGAUCAAAUGCCCAAAUUUUGUAUCUUUGAAAAAUGUUAAGAUGAACCAAAAACCACGCAGUGGAAAAAAAGAAGACUUUUCCUAGGGUACUCAUGAUUAAAUCUGGAAAUAGAGAAACAUUUUCCGACUGAAACUUUAUCUCAGCUUUAGCAGAAGGCAUCAAAGGUCCAGUAACUUUAACAACAAAGAAUAAAAGUGACUUGCUGCUUCA